UACGUAGGGGCUAGCGUUAUCCGGAAUUACUGGGCGUAAAGGGUGCGUAGGUGGUUUCUUAAGUCAGAGGUGAAAGGCUACGGCUCAACCGUAGUAAGCCUUUGAAACUGGGAAACUUGAGUGCAGGAGAGGAGAGUGGAGUUCCUAGUGUAGCGGUGAAAUGCGUAGAUAUUAGGAGGAACACCAGUUGCGAAGGCGGCUCUCUGGACUGUAACUGACACUGAGGCACGAAAGCGUGGGGAGCAAACAGGAUUAGAUACCCGGGUAGUCCCUGAGCGGGCU
rnacentral:rRNA from 1 species